UUAAUAUUUUGUAAUGUAAUUAUUUUUUUAAUAUCAACCAAUUUAUUAGAUAAUAGAGAAUACAAGAAGAUGAGAAAUAGUGAUGCCACAUCACCUCCUCUAGUCCCAACUUUAUAUAUAUAUAUAUAUAUGGAUAGAUAGAUAUAGAUAUAGUUAGAUAGAUAUAGAUUUUUAAUAUUUUGUAAUGUAAUUAUUUUUUAAUCUCAACCAAUAUAUUAGAUAAUAGAGAAUAAAAAAAGAUGAGAAAUAAUGAUGCCACAAAUCUUAAAUAUUUAAUGUUUAUGGAGUUUGAAGAAGCCAAAAGACACUAAACAAAAGAUUGAAUAAUUAAAUAUGGGAUUAUGACAUUAAAAUUGGGCUCUAAUGGCAUUGUUAAAAGAUUGAAUAAUUAAAUAUGAGAUCAUGACAUUAAAAUUAGGCUUUAAUGGCAUUGUUGAGGGAACAUGAAGGAACCGUCCUUCAUAUAUUAAUUAAUUGAUGUAUUUUAAUCCACUAAAAUUUAAUUGUUGGCAUAAUAAAAUAAAUGAAUGUUUCAAGACUUAUAAUUAAUUAUUAUUAAUGGUUACAUAUUGUUGAAUUUAAAUAGAAAGAGGAAAAGACAUGUAAUCAUUUAUAAUCUAAUAAUUAUUUUCUAUUUUAAUAUUUUGUAAUGUAAUUAUUUUUUAAUUUCAACCAAUUUAUUAGAUAAUAGAGAAUAUGAAAUGAUGAGAAAUGGUAAUGCCACAUCAUCUCUUGUAGUCCCAACUUUAUAUAUAUAUAUAUUAGGUGAUGUAUUUUAAGGCACUAAAGUUUAAUUGAUAGUAUAAUAAAUUUUGAAGAAGCCAAAAGACACUCAACAAAAGGUUGCAUAAUUAAAUAUGGGAUUAUGGCAUUAAAAUUAGGCCUUAGUGGCAUUGUUGAGGAAAAAUGAAAGAACCUCUCUUCCUAUGUUAAUUAAUUCAUGUAUUUUAAUCCACUAAAGUUUAAUUGCUAGCAUAAUAAAAUAAAUAAAUGUAACCUACCCCCAAAUUAAUUGACAUUUUGCACCGCGCACCCAAAAAAAAUGACGUGUUGCACCGCGCCCCCAAUUCCGUUAGUUUUUCGGUUAUUAUUAACGGGGAAAGGGCAAAAAUGGAAAAGCAAAGUGAUAUUUAAAAAUAAAAAAUUAUAUUGAUCGAAAACCGCGCCAAGUCAUUUCAUCUAUGAUUUUACUUGUUAAGUCGGCAAGGACAGGCAUAGAAAAAGCAAUUCCAUGGAUCCAAAAUCGAGACGAUGAUAUGUAAUUGGGCGCCAAAAAAACCACCUAACCCAGACUCAUAUGCAAAGGAGAUAAAAUUUGUGAGAGCCAUAGUGGAUAUUGGUGUGUGGCUAUGUGCAUUUUACUAACAAGAGAGGAGAACUCAGUGUUUGGUCGUUGAAGAAGCCCAGGUUAGUAAGAAAUCUUUAUUUAUUUUUUGUUGAUUUGGUUUUCCAUGAUGGCUGGGUCUUUAUUUUUUUUUUUUAACACUCACAGUAGCUCCAUUUUCACUCACUACCCAUUUAUUUCCUCACCAUCUUGGUCUUGGUUUUCUUCCCUGCUUCUCAUUCGAUUCCUAUCAUAGUGCUCUGUGGUAAAUUUUUGUUUAAUUUUUCUUUUAAAGAUCGAAUUUCAUUGAUGAAGAUUUUAUUUUUAUUCAUAGCAAUUAAUAGAAUUCUUUGAAUGCUUGCUUUUGCCUACCCAUUUUAUUUUAAUUAACUGAAACUAUAUGCAUGUUAUUGCACUAUGUAUGUGAUUGGAUCUUCAAUUUCACUUUAAAUGCUUGCUUUUGGUAAUAAAUUUUAGUUUAAAGUUCAUUAUUUGCAUGUUAUUGCAUUAUGUAUGUGCAACUCGAGAUUUUCGGGCUUAUAGUUUCACUAUUUAACGAUAAUGUCGGGAGAGGAUUUAGGUGAAUUGUUUGCACCUUCAUCUUACAGAAUAUAAUAUCUAUAUUACAUGACACUAGCUGUAAACAUUAGGUAUUUAAGGACAAAAUCUACUUUGUACAGGUGAAAAUGGAUGAUGCUGAUAAUACAACUUUUUAUGUCACAUUCAAAGACACAACACAUAAUCUUGGUGUCAUUGAUCCUGACAAGUUGAGUAUAGUCUCUGUUAUCAACAAAGUUCUAAUGACAGUGUAUGGAAGAAGGAUGACUCAUGAUGAGAAGUUUAAUCUAAAUGUUUGGCAAUCUUGGGAGAGGAAGAAGGUUCAAAUUGUGGAUGAUCAUGAUCUCAUUGUUCAGUUACAGGAGCACCACAAUAGGCUGUGCUAUGAUAUGCAACUUUACCUCGACGAGAUACAUUCAGUUACAGAGUCAACAACAAAAAGAGCGUCAUUCCAAACUUCUGAAGAUAUCACUUCUGCAGCCCCUAAAACCAGCAUUCCAGUCAUCAUUGAUCAGAAUAAUCUUGUGUCAAAUGUCCCUCCUACUAGGAUAAGUGCCAACUCUGAUUUGUUUGAGGAUUUUAUGGACAUCUAUUUUAGAUCAUCAACAGGCCAGCAAACAGUAUCACCAAAUCAGAGCAAUAAAACAGACACUAUUGAUACUACUAGUGAUAGUAGUGUUGAUAAAACCUCUUCAAAUUGUUCUGAUGAAACCCCACAAAGGAACAAAAUUACAAAACAUUGUUCCAUCUCUUCUCAGCUUCAGCAGCAACAACAGAUGUCGUAUCUACGUGAACCAACACCUGAUACCCCAAAUGCCUUCCCAACCCAACCAACACAGAACCCUGACUCACAGGUCUUCCAAACAUAUAAUGUUUUUCAAAGUUGUGCUGAUAAUGGGCAGAAAUCCACAAGAACUAAACCUAUAGCUUCCACAUACGACUUUGAUGACAGUGAUUAUUGCUUGACUGAAUCCGAAGAAGAAGAUCCAUAUCAUCCACGAGGUGCUGCAAAUGUUAUUAAUUCUGCAGCCCCUCCUAUUGAUCAAGCUAAUGAGGGCUAUAUUCAUUCUGAUAAUAGUGAUGUGGAUUGCAUACUAUCUAAUUGUGACAGUGAUGAUAAUGAAUUUGGUGAAGAUUCUAAUGAUGAGACUGAUGAGGUUUUGGCAAAGAUGGAUGCAACAAUGAGAGAAAACAUGUAUGUUCCCAGUGAAGACCCUGUUGUAUUUAGAAUUGGACAAUAUUUUAGAAACUUUAGGCAGCUAAGUUGGGCUUUAAGAAAUUAUGCAGUUGAAAAUAGGUUCAAAAUGUACAAGCACAAGUUUGAAAGAUCUAGAAUUACAGUUGGUUGUGCCUUCUUUCAAUGCCCUUGGUUUUUACAUGCAGCAAAGACCAGAUUCGGACCACCAUUUCUUAUUAAGAGACUUCACAACGUCCACACAUGCCAAAGAGAUCUGAAAAACCCUGAAUGUACAGCAGAGUUCAUAGCUGUGAAGUUUGCAUCAACAUUUAUAGAGCAGCCAGACACCAAGGUUGAAUGGUUUAUAAGCGAACUUAGAAGAAGAUAUGGUGUGAAGGUUAACAAACAUAAGAUAUACAGAGCCAAAAAGAAAGUUUUAGAGCGUCAAGGUGCUGAUCAUGAGUCAAGUUAUCGGCUAGUGAGGAGUUAUGCGCAGAUGAUACUUAACAAGAUGCCACAGGCUCUGGCACUUGUUAGUGUGAUCAGGUAUCAUGUAGAACAACCCAAGACUUACUUUGACAGAUUUGUUGUAUCCUUCCCUGCAUUAAGAGAAUGCUUUAACCAAGGUUGUAGACCUUUCUUGGGCAUUGAUGGAUGCCAUUUAAAGGGCCCUUACAAGGGUGUACUGCUAUCAGCUGUGGCCAUUGAUGCAAAUGAUGGAAUCUUCCCAAUUGCUUUUUGUGUGUGUAGUGUUGAGAGCACUAGCACAUGGACAUGGUUUCUCAGGCAUUUGAAUACUUUUUUAGGAGAUAAUAGGCAGCUCACCUUUAUGUGUGAUAGGCAGAAAGGUAUUCAAAAUGCUUUAGCGUUGGAGUUCCCUAAUGCACAUGUGAGGUAUUGUGCCAGACACAUUCUAGCCAAUCUGAAAGCAAAGCAUCCACACUCUGAUUUCAAACCACAUUUUUGGGCAGCAACAAGGGCUUCAAAUCGAAGAGCAUUUGAUAGAGCUAUGGAAGAGUUGAGAAAGACAGAUGAGGGCGUAUAUGAGACACUAAGGAAGCUACCAGCCAAGUUUUGGUCCAGACAUGCUUUUGACAAUAAUUGCAAGUCUGAUCAUUGUACUAACAAUGUGACUGAAUCAUUUAAUGCAUGGGUUGGGGUUCAAAGGAAGAUGCCAAUACUGACAAUGCUAGAGUGGAUCAGAAAAAAGCUUAUGAAGAGACUGAUUAAUAGAAAACAGAAAGCAAUGGCUUGGGGGAAUAAGAUUCCAAGAAGAAUUUAUGACAAGAUGAUGAAUCAUUUGAAAAUUGGAAGUGUAAAUCCAAUUUCAAGAGCUAGCAAAUGGUUGUAUGAAGUGGAUGACAGCUACAGAACCUAUAUUGUUGACCUUGAACAUCAUGUUUGUGACUGUGGAUAUUGGCAAGUAAGUGGGAUUCCUUGCAUCCAUGCCAUGCCUUGUAUAAGCCACAGUCAUAAGGACCAAGCUGAUUUUCUCAGCCCAUGGUUAAAGAAGGACACUUACAUAAGAGGUUAUUCGUGGAUGAUUCACCCAAUUCCAGAUAAGGAUUCUUGGCCAAAUCCUGGUGGUGAUGAAAUUUUGCCUCCUUUAAUGAAAAGGCCUCCUGGAAGACCUAAGAUUAACAGAAGAAGGGAAGCUGAUGAGGUACCACCAGAAAGUAAAAGAUACAGGCUCCAAUGCAAGUGUUGCAAAGAGUAUGGUCACAAUAGAAGAGGUUGUCCUGCUAACCCUGAAAAUUUAAAUAAGAGGACAAGAUUGUACAAGGUCAGUUGGCUAGCUUCCGUUGGAAGUUUUAAUUUUUUUUUUAAUGCUCUUUACAAUAGAGGACAGCUGUAUAACAAUAAAUUUUUUUUUGUUUGCUUAUGAUUUGUCUCAGCGUCAUCUGAGAAGCUAUUUAACAAGGCGUGAAGGAGAAGAACAAGGUCGGUAACUAUUUAACACAAUUUAUUGUUACAUUGUUGCUGAAUUUAGGCUGCCCUGCUAAAUUAAUUAAUUCCCUGCUAAAUUAAUUAAUUAAUCUUACUUGCUGCGUUAAUUAAAUACCUAAUUACUUGAUGACAUGAAUUGUUUGAUUUAAGCAAUUAAAUUAGCAUUCUAAAUUGCUACAUUAAAUACAUGUCAAAUAGCAUUAUGCAUAUGAUUUAAUUUAUAUUAAGUAAAGUAGCAAUUGAAAGAUGUUUAAUGCCAUAGUAAAAGAUACAGCUGCAGCAUUAGAAGGACCUGCUUGUGCAUCAAUCGUUGCUCCAAGACAGACAAGUGAUAACAUCCAAGUGGCUGUAGAAGUUGAAGAUAUAACAACAUACAAUCUGCGUAAUUCCAAGAAGCAUAAGACUGCCACUCAGGCAGGCCCAUCAGCUUCAAAGAAUUUGGUUAAAAGGAAAAGGAUGGAAGGAAGCAGUGAUGCUACUUGGGUGGGUGUCCAAGGCAAAAAGAUCAUAACAGCUGCUGGAAUUGACCCGAGGGAAGACCAUCGAAGAGAUGAACAUAAAGCUAAAAAGAAGUUGGACAAAGGGAAGGCAUUGGCUUUCCCACCAUGAAGGGUAAGUUAUAUGUUUGCUAGGCCAAAAAUUAAUUUGAAUACUUUAUAAAUGGAAGUUUUAUGGUAUUUGUAAACAUAUCAUCUACACUUAUUAUACAUGAGUAUUAGAUACAUUAUGCGUAAUAUUUCAUGUAUAUUAUUUUAACUUGGUAUGAUAUUUCAAUAAUGUCAUUUUAAAUGCAGUGAUCGUGUAUGUUUGCUUGAAGCAUUGGCAGUAGCAGAUUUGCUAACAAGUAGUGGAGGUAGUAUAACCAUUUUUUGACACCUUCCACAAUGCCAUUUUGAACCACCCGACCGACAUGAAGAUCAACAGGCUUGUAUUUUGACUUGCUCUAUUUUUUACAUGAAAUUGGAGCUGUAGUGUGCAGUUUGUGAUAAGUAGUAUAUAAGUUGUGCAAGGUUCGUGGCAUUUUGUAAGUUGUUGGGCAUAAGACUCAUAUACAAGUAUUAGAGAUUAGACCAACAAUUCAUUUUGUUUUUUGGUUUCAAAUGUAUGUAACCAUAGAGGUUCUAAUUAGAAUGUAUAGGCUGCUGCCAAUGUUUGUUUGAGAAUCAAACAGUAAUUUAUAUUAGAAUGCUCAAAUCAGACCAGGUAUUACAGUUAAUAUAUGUCUUGCUUUUUUGUUACAAUCAAUCAUUCUACACUAUUAUAACUUGCAUUAUAAUGUAUUACAAACAACAAAACUAGUAGCAUCAAUAUGGUUGUGAAUUGAUACUUUUUCAGUUGAUGAAGCAUGGUUUCAAUGUUGGUAAACCUAUGAUGAAAGGCGUCAAUGUCUAAUUUGUCACUAAAACUACGGCUGUUGUGAACAGCUUCUUCGACCAUGUAUGGAUUUGCUUGUUCUUCAAAUAGGUGUGAUCUUGCUUGAAUUUCUCCAGCCUCCUCUUUAGUUGGCUCCCACCAUCUAAAAAAACCACAUCCAUGGUCAUUAGGACAGCAGUAGUAUAAUCUAUUGGGAUUUGGUAUAGAUUCUGAAAUUUUGAUUGCUGCUCUGCGUUGACAGUAGCAUAUUUUGUUGUGAAACUUGAUAAUGCCCCCAUUGAUUAAAUUCCUCUGUGAUGUUGGGUGGGUUGAUGAACUUGAUGCACUCCUCGAACUGGACAUCUCUUCUCUUCUUUUUCUAUGGAUUAUUCCUUGUAAUGUUUAUGAUAUGUACAAAGAAUGGAGUCACAACUGAAAGUGUUAUGCUUAAUUGUUGAAUGUGGUAUGCUGUUAUUGUUGCUGAUGUUUUAAGCUUGCAUUGGGUGAAAGUUGAAGGUAUGAAGUUACUGCUGAUGUUUAUUGUUGAAUGUUGAUGGAGGCUGGUUGUGAGGGUGUGUGUGUUGAAUGUUGAUGGAGGCUGGUUGUGAGGGUGUGUGUCUUGAAUCUCUAUAUAUUUGGGUGCUUAAUUUGACCGUUGGAAACAUAUAUAGCCGUUGGAUCGAGGCUUCAACAUUCACUUAAGUUGAAUGUUGCUUCAUUCAUGUGCUGCCACGCGGCUAUAAAUAAUCCAUAUUUACUUGGCCAUUCAAGCAAAUGUCUAUCGCUAGCCUCAUCAACGAUGUGCAAAGCCUUCAUACAGGGAUAAUAACGUCAAUUAACACAAUAAAAAAAUGGUCUUUUGUAGCUUUAGUGUUUGAAUUUAAAAAAUGGGUAUUUUCGUCAUUUCAUUAAAUUUCACACCAUUCUGUUAAUAAUAACCGAAAAACUAACGGAAUUGGGGGUGCGGUGCAACAUGUCAUUUUUCUUGGGUGCGCGGUGCAAAAUGUCAGUUUAUUUGGGGGUAGGUUGCAAAUUUCCCUUAUUUUCUAUUUUAAUAUUUUGUAAUGUAAUUAUUUUUUAAUUUCAACCAAUUUAUUAGAUAAUAGAGAAUAUGAAAUGAUGAGAAAUGGUAAUGCCACAUCAUCUCUUGUAGUCCCAACUUUAUAUAUAUAUAGAUUAGGUGAUGUAUUUUAAGGCACUAAAGUUUAAUUGAUAGUAUAAUAAAUUUUGAAGAAGCCAAAAGACACUCAACAAAAGGUUGCAUAAUUAAAUAUGGGAUUAUGGCAUUAAAAUUAGGCCUUAGUGGCAUUGUUGAGGAAAAAUGAAAGAACCUCUCUUCCUAUGUUAAUUAAUUCAUGUAUUUUAAUCCACUAAAGUUUAAUUGCUAGCAUAAUAAAAUAAAUAAAUGUUUCAAAAGACUUAUAAUUAAUUAUUAUUAAUGAUUACAUAUUGUUGAAUUUAAAUAGAAAGAGAAAAAAAGUACAAAGAAUAUCCACCAAUAUUUUAGAUAUUUUAGAUAAUAGAAAAUAUAAAAAGAUGAUGAAUGAUAUCUAUUAAUAAAGUUACUAUUUAUUAAAUGUGUUAAAUACAAUCAAAUUAAUUAUAAGAAGAUGAAAAGUCAAAUCUAAAAAAAAAUCUCUAUUUAUGAGAUAAUAGAGAAUAUACAAAGAAGUAAAAUGGUGAUGUUACAUCACCUCCUCAAGUCCUACCUUUAUAUAUAUAUAGAUAGAUUAGCUACGUUAUUAGGAUUCUUUAAUUAUAAUAUCAAAAGUAAUUAAAAUAUUAGACAUAAAUUAUAACUAUCAUAUCAAGUUUUAGAAUUCCUCAAUAGCAAGUGAUACACCGUUCUAGCAGCUCAUUCCUUCUUCAUCCUCAUGUCACACUAAUAUUAUGUUUACUUCUACGAAUGGGAAUCAAUAAAUUGAAAUGAGUUUCAUCCAAGGAGAUUGGCCCUCAAGUGCAAAGGAUGAAGGGAGCCUGACUGCAAGAUCCACCUGUCGAGAUGGAAUAUAACGAAAUAGAAUCACUUUGAGGUUCCCUAUAAAAUGAGACAUGGAACGAAGCCACUAUGAAAAAGUUUCGGGGGUUACGGGAGAAAAAAAAAAUUAAAAAACCCACAACUAUCGAAAAAACUACAAUUAGUGUUAACCGAACUUAUUUUAUAACAAUAGUAAUUAAUCGUUCAAAUAAUUCUCGGUGUGAAAACACAUAAACAAUGGGCUGAUAUUUGAAAACGAAAAAUAGUGGAUCCGUAGGGAAUGAAUCGAAAUGAGUUUCAUUACUUUGUUUACUUUUUAAAAUAACACCAGGAAUCGAAAUAAGAAUAAUGGAUCCCACAAAAAUUUGGGAAUGAAACAUGGGGUUCUCAUUCCUGUGGGGAGAGUUGGGAAUCAGAACACUUUACAAUGAAGAGACGAAAUUACCCCAAUGAACUUAAUAAGUCCAAUUUUGUCCUUUAACUUAUUACAAAAUAUAAAAACCCAUAAUUCAUAAAAAAGAAAAAUGCAUGUACUCUUG
rnacentral:lncRNA from 1 species